CUACGGGGUGCUGCAGUGGGGAAUAUUGCACAAUGGAGGAAACUCUGAUGCAGCAACGCCGCGUGGAGGAUGACACUUUUCGGAGCGUAAACUCCUUUUAUAUAGGAAGAAGAUGACGGUACUAUAUGAAUAAGCGCCGGCUAACUCCGUGCCAGCAGCCGCGGUAAUACGGAGGGCGCAAGCGUUACUCGGAAUCACUGGGCGUAAAGAGCGUGUAGGCGGAUUAAAAAGUCAGAAGUGAAAUCCUAUAGCUUAACUAUAGAACUGCUUCUGAAACUCUUAAUCUAGAAUAUGGGAGAGGUAGAUGGAAUUUCUGGUGUAGGGGUAAAAUCCGUAGAGGUCAGAAGGAAUACCGAUUGCGAAGGCGAUCUACUAGAACAUUAUUGACGCUGAGACGCGAAAGCGUGGGGAGCAAACAGGAUUAGAUACCCGCGUAGUC
rnacentral:rRNA from 1 species